CUGCCGUUCUCCAUGAUCCAGUUUACAAAAUGAUAUUAGAAAUGGGUUGUGAUGCAAUAUACUUAUUACUAGACUUAAGAUAGUGUAGUCAUAGCAAGGAAAUGCACCAAGGUGAGUCAGCAAAAGAAACAAAUUGCACCCAGGGGUUUCCUUCCAAUGCCCUCUUAGCUCAUGUAUUAUUAAAGACCCAUCAUUUCCAGCAAAUGGCUGAUUGUUU